rnacentral:rRNA from 1 species
AACGAACGUUGGCGGCGUGGAUUAGGCAUGCAAGUCGAACGAAUCCCUGGUGGGUAACUGCUGGGGGGAAGUGGCGAAAGGGGCAGUAAGGCGUGGAUAACCUACCCCGAGGAUCGGGAUAGCCUUCCUAACGGAAGGGUAAUACCGGGCGACGUAACGAGGUGGCGUCAUCUGGUUACCAAAUGAGUUUCGCCUCGGGAGGGGUUCACGUGGUAUUAGCUAGUUGGUGAGGUAACGGCUCACCAAGGCCAAGAUGCCUAGCAGGUGUGAGAGCACGACCUGCGCCACUGGCACUGUGACACUGGCCAGACUCCUACGGGAGGCUGCAGUCGAGGAUCUUCGGCAAUGGGCGCAAGCCUGACCGAGCGACGCCGCGUGUGCGAUGAAGGCCUUCGGGUUGUAAAGCACUGUCGAGGGGGAGAAAGCCCGCAAGGGUUGAUCGAUCCCUGGAGGAAGCACGGGCUAAGUUCGUGC